rnacentral:rRNA from 1 species
GCAGGGUGAGUCGACCCCUAAGGCGAGGCCGAAAGGCGUAGUCGAUGGGAAACGGGUUAAUAUUCCCGUACUUGGUGUUACUGCGAAGGGGGGACGGAGAAGGCUAUGUUGGCCGGGCGACGGUUGUCCCGGUUUAAGCGUGUAGGUGUGUGUUCCAGGUAAAUCCGGUUCACUUUAACACUGAGGCGUGAUGACGAGGCACUACGGUGCUGAAGCAACAAAUGCCCUGCUUCCAGGAAAAGCCUCUAAGCAUCAGGUAACAUCAAAUCGUACCCCAAACCGACACAGGUGGUCAGGUAGAGAAUACCAAGGCGCUUGAGAGAACUCGGGUGAAGGAACUAGGCAAAAUGGUGCCGUAACUUCGGGAGAAGGCACGCUGACACGUAGGUGAAGUGAUUUACUCAUGGAGCUGAAGUCAGUCGAAGAUACCAGCUGGCUGCAACUGUUUAUUAAAAACACAGCACUGUGCAAACACGAAAGUGGACGUAUACGGUGUGACGCCUGCCCGGUGCCGGAAGGUUAAUUGAUGGGGUCAGCGCAAGCGAAGCUCCUGAUCGAAGCCCCGGUAAACGGCGGCCGUAACUAUAACGGUCCUAAGGUAGCGAAAUUCCUUGUCGGGUAAGUUCCGACCUGCACGAAUGGCGUAAUGAUGGCCAGGCUGUCUCCACCCGAGACUCAGUGAAAUUGAACUCGCUGUGAAGAUGCAGUGUACCCGCGGCAAGACGGAAAGACCCCGUGAACCUUUACUAUAGCUUGACACUGAACAUUGAGCCUUGAUGUGUAGGAUAGGUGGGAGGCUUUGAAGUGUGGACGCCAGUCUGCAUGGAGCCGGCCUUGAAAUACCACCCUUUAAUGUUUGAUGUUCUAACGUGGACCCGUGAUCCGGGUUGCGGACAGUGUCUGGUGGGUAGUUUGACUGGGGCGGUCUCCUCCUAAAGAGUAACGGAGGAGCACGAAGGUUGGCUAAUCCUGGUCGGACAUCAGGAGGUUAGUGCAAUGGCAUAAGCCAGCUUGACUGCGAGCGUGACGGCGCGAGCAGGUGCGAAAGCAGGUCAUAGUGAUCCGGUGGUUCUGAAUGGAAGGGCCAUCGCUCAACGGAUAAAAGGUACUCCGGGGAUAACAGGCUGAUACCGCCCAAGAGUUCAUAUCGACGGCGGUGUUUGGCACCUCGAUGUCGGCUCAUCACAUCCUGGGGCUGAAGUAGGUCCCAAGGGUAUGGCUGUUCGCCAUUUAAAGUGGUACGCGAGCUGGGUUUAGAACGUCGUGAGACAGUUCGGUCCCUAUCUGCCGUGGGCGCUGGAGAACUGAGGGGGGCUGCUCCUAGUACGAGAGGACCGGAGUGGACGCAUCACUGGUGUUCGGGUUGUCAUGCCAAUGGCACUGCCCGGUAGCUAAAUGCGGAAGAGAUAAGUGCUGAAAGCAUCUAAGCACGAAACUUGCCCCGAGAUGAGUUCUCCCUGAGACUUUAGGUCUCCUGAAGGAACGUUGAAGACGACGACGUUGAUAGGCCGGGUGUGUAAGCGCAGCGAUGCGUUGAGCUAACCGGUACUAAUGAACCGUGAGGCUUAACCUU